AAUGACUCUCGGCAACGGAUAUCUCGGCUCUCGCAUCGAUGAAGAACGUAGCGAAAUGCGAUACUUGGUGUGAAUUGCAGAAUCCCGUGAACCAUCGAKUCUUUGAACGCAAGUUGCGCCCAAAGCCAUUAGGCCGAGGGCACGUCUGCCUGGGUGUCACGC
rnacentral:rRNA from 1 species